UGUUUCGGCUAGGGGGUCAUCCCGACUUACCAAACCGAUGCAAACUCCGAAUACCUAUGAGUACUAUCCGGGAGACAGACUGCGGGUGCUAACGUCCGUAGUCAAGAGGAAAACAAUCCAGACCGCCAGCUAAGGCCCCAAAAUCAUAGUUAAGUGGGAAACGAUGUGGGAAGGCAUAGACAGCUAGGAGGUUGGCUUAGAAGCAGCCACCCUUUAAAGAAAGCGUAAUAGCUCACUAGUCGAGUCGGCCUGCGCGGAAGAUGUAACGGGGCUAAAACUAUGUGCCGAAGCUGCGGAUGUAUACUUUGUAUACGUGGUAGGGGAGCGUUCUGUAAGCCGAUGAAGGUGUGUUGAGAAGCAUGCUGGAGGUAUCAGAAGUGCGAAUGCUGACGUGAGUAACGACAAAACGGGUGAAAAACCCGUUCGCCGAAAGACCAAGGGUUCCAGUCCAACGUUAAUCGGGGCUGGGUGAGUCGACCCCUAAGGCGAGGCCGAAAGGCGUAGUCGAUGGGAAAAUGGUUAAUAUUCCAUUACUUCUGUGUAAUGCGAUGAGAGGACGGAGAAGGCUAAAUCAGCCUGGCGUUGGUUGUCCAGGUGAAAGGAUGUAGGCAUGUAUCUUAGGCAAAUCCGGGGUACUCUAUGCUGAGAUCUGAUAGCAAGCUGUACUUGUACAGCGAAGUGGUUGAUGCCAUGCUUCCAGGAAAAGUCUCUAAGCUUCAGUUACACAGGAAUCGUACCCGAAACCGACACAGGUGGUCAGGUCGAGUAGACCAAGGCGCUUGAGAGAACUCUGCUGAAGGAACUAGGCAAAAUGGUACCGUAACUUCGGGAGAAGGUACGCUGUUGUUGGUGAUGGAACUCGCUUCCUGAGCUGACGACAGCCGCAGAAACCAGGCCGCUGCAACUGUUUAUUAAAAACAUAGCACUCUGCAAACACGAAAGUGGACGUAUAGGGUGUGAUGCCUGCCCGGUGCUGGAAGGUUAAUUGAUGGGGUUAGCGUAAGCGAAGCUCUUGAUCGAAGCCCCAGUAAACGGCGGCCGUAACUAUAACGGUCCUAAGGUAGCGAAAUUCCUUGUCGGGUAAGUUCCGACCUGCACGAAUGGCAUAAUGAUGGCGGCGCUGUCUCCAGCAGAGGCUCAGUGAAAUCGAAAUCGCUGUGAAGAUGCAGUGUACCCGCGGCUAGACGGAAAGACCCCGUGAACCUUUACUGCAGCUUGACACUGAACUUUGACCUUACUUGUGUAGGAUAGGUGGGAGGCUUUGAAGCUGGAACGCUAGUUCCAGUGGAGCCGUCCUUGAAAUACCACCCUGGUAAUGUUGAGGUUCUAACUCUGUCCCGUGAUCCGGGACGAGGACCGUGUCUGGUGGGUAGUUUGACUGGGGCGGUCUCCUCCUAAAGAGUAACGGAGGAGUACGAAGGUGCGCUCAGCGUGGUCGGAAAUCACGCGUAGAGUAUAAAGGCAAAAGCGCGCUUAACUGCGAGACCCACAAGUCGAGCAGGUACGAAAGUAGGUCUUAGUGAUCCGGUGGUUCUGUAUGGAAGGGCCAUCGCUCAACGGAUAAAAGGUACUCUGGGGAUAACAGGCUGAUACCGCCCAAGAGUUCAUAUCGACGGCGGUGUUUGGCACCUCGAUGUCGGCUCAUCUCAUCCUGGGGCUGAAGCAGGUCCCAAGGGUAUGGCUGUUCGCCAUUUAAAGAGGUACGCGAGCUGGGUUUAGAACGUCGUGAGACAGUUCGGUCCCUAUCUACCGUGGGCGCUGGAAAUUUGAGAGGAUCUGCUCCUAGUACGAGAGGACCAGAGUGGACGAACCUCUGGUGUACCGGUUGUGACGCCAGUCGCAUCGCCGGGUAGCUAUGUUCGGAAGGGAUAACCGCUGAAAGCAUCUAAGCGGGAAGCCUACCUCAAGAUAAGAUUUCCCUAGGACUUUAUGUCCUCUAAAGAGCCGUUCGAGACUAGGACGUUGAUAGGUUGGAUGUGGAAGCAUAGUGAUAUGUGAAGCUGACCAAUACUAAUUGCUCGUGAGGCUUGACUA
rnacentral:rRNA from 1 species